UUGCAGCCUCUCCUCUGCCAGCCUUCAUCAUCAGACACGUUGUAGUGCUGCUGAUCCUACUGACAGCCAUCACCACCUCCUACCUGUACUACAAGCCCACCAGGAGGCAGAAGAGAGUGAACAGGGUGAGCAGCAUGGAUCUUUAUGUCAAUGCCAUGGAGAUGGUCUCUCUGAGCUCCAGAGCUGAAGCUGGACCGGGAGAGGAGAGAGCAGCCCAGGGGACGGAGUAGGAGGAGAAUGAAGCUGACCCUACAUGCUGAUCUUAGAUCUCCAGGUUCAAAGCGUCAGUCCACCAGCUUACCUCUCAGUCAGACUGGUGGAUGGGACCACUUCCUGUUCUGGGACAAUGGAAGUCUUCUACAUUAGAGGGUGGUCACGUCUAUGUUUUGGGUGGCUGGGCAUGAUGAGAAAGACUAAGGUUUUGUGUAGAGAGCUGAACUGUGGGAAUGUUGUAGGUGAAUCUAGAGGACGUCUGGUUGAAGAUGGAAGAAGAGGAGUCUUCCUAUCUAGAAGAUGUAGUGGAAAUGAGUCUUCUAUUAGACAGUGUGACAACAUAGAAGGACCUGGUGGCUGUCAUGGUGGAUAUUAUCAUCAUGUGACCUGUUCAGACUCUGUGCGUCUUGUGGAUGGAGCUGGUCUCUGCUCUGGGAGAGUGGAGGUGAAGUCCAAUCAGUCCUGGGCCUCAGUGUGUGAAGCUGACUUUGACCAGCAGGAUGCAGAGGUAGUCUGUAGGGAUCUUGGCUGUGGGGCUCUUGCAGCUCUACAGGGGGGGCUCUAUGGAGAAGGUGAGGGUCAGACCUGGGAUAAAGAGUUCCAGUGUAAAGGCAAAGAGUCCCUUCUCCUGGACUGUGACACCUCAGACAGAGAGAACAACACCUGCCUACCUGGUAAUGCUGUUGGACUCACCUGCUCAGGUAAGAAACAGUUUGUCACUCAAUCAACAUUGUUUCUCACCUGGAGUGAAGAAUGAGACAAUAUAGGUG